rnacentral:rRNA from 1 species
AAUAGAUACCCGGGUAGUCCACGCCCUAAACGAUGUCAACUGGUUGUUGGGGAAGGUAACUUCCUUAGUAACGAAGCUAACGCGUGAAGUUGACCGCCUGGGGAGUACGGCCGCAAGGUUAAAACUCAAAGGAAUUGACGGGGACCCGCACAAGCGGUGGAUGAUGUGGAUUAAUUCGAUGCAACGCGAAGAACCUUACCUACCCUUGACAUGUAGCGAACCCUGCUGAGAGGUGGGGGUGCCCGAAAGGGAGCGCUAACACAGGUGCUGCAUGGCUGUCGUCAGCUCGUGUCGUGAGAUGUUGGGUUAAGUCCCGCAACGAGCGCAACCCUUGUCACUAGUUGCUACGAAAGGGCACUCUAGUGAGACUGCCGGUGACAAACCGGAGGAAGGUGGGGAUGACGUCAAGUCCUCAUGGCCCUUAUGGGUAGGGCUUCACACGUCAUACAAUGACGCAUACAGAGGGUUGCCAACCCGCGAGGGGGAGCCAAUCCCAGAAAGUGCGUCGUAGUCCGGAUUGUUCUCUGCAACUCGAGAGCA